GCUGGCGUAGCUCAGUUGGUAGAGCGGCGCAUUCGUAAUGCGCGGGCCGGGGGUUCGAUUCCUCUCGCCAGCU
rnacentral:tRNA from 1 species